rnacentral:rRNA from 1 species
UACAGAGGCCACAAGCGUUAGUCGGAAUCACUGGGCUUAAAGGGUGCGUAGGCGGGCGUGUAAGCGUCUUGUGAAAUCCCGGAGCUCAACUCCGGAACAGCAGGGCGAACUGCACGUCUUGAGGCAGGUAGGGGCCGCGAGAACAGUAGGUGGAGCGGUGAAAUGCGUAGAUAUCUACUGGAAUGCCGAUGGUGAAGACGCGCGGCUGGGCCUGUCCUGACGCUGAGGCACGAAAGCGUGGGGAGCAAAC